rnacentral:rRNA from 1 species
UACGAAGGGGGCUAGCGUUGUUCGGAUUUACUGGGCGUAAAGCGCACGUAGGCGGAUCGUUAAGUCGGGGGUGAAAUCCUGGAGCUCAACUCCAGAACUGCCUUCGAUACUGGCGAUCUCGAGUCCGGAAGAGGUGAGUGGAACUCCUAGUGUAGAGGUGGAAUUCGUAGAUAUUAGGAAGAACACCAGUGGCGAAGGCGACUCACUGGUCCGGUACUGACGCCGAGGUGCGAAAGCGUGGGGAGCAAACAGG